UGCACCCACCGGGGGAUUUGCAUAUUGUCCUCUAGGGAGGACCUUCCCUUGUGGGUCUGAGAUAAAAGCUCAGCUCUAACCCUUACCUUGACUGAUCAGGACUCCUCAGUUCACCUUCUCACUAUGAGGCUCCCUGCUCAGCUCUUGGGGCUGCUAAUGCUCUGGGUCCCUGAAAGCCAGGCCAGUCUCCACGCUCCUGAUCUAUGAAGUUUCCAACCGGUUCUCUGGAGUGCCAGAUAGGUUCAGUGGCAGCGGGUCAGGGACAGAUUUCACACUGAAAAUCAGCCGGGUGGAGGCUGAGGAUUUUGGAGUUUAUUACUGCAUGCAAGAUGCACAAG
rnacentral:lncRNA from 1 species